rnacentral:rRNA from 1 species
CAGGCCUAACACAUGCAAGUCGAGCGAGAAAGCUCUUCGGGAGUAAGUAAAGCGGCGAACGGGUGAGUAACACGUGAGAAUCUACCCUUUAGUGAAGAAUACCUCCGAGAAAUCGGUGUUAAUACUGCGUACGUCUCCGGGGAGAAAGAUGGCCUCUUUGCUAUCGCUAAAGGAUGAGCUUGCGUACUAUUAGUUAGUUGGUGAGGUAAUGGCUCACCAAGACAAUGAUGGUUAACCGGCCUGAGAGGGUGUUCGGUCACACUGGAACUUAGACACGGUCCAGACUCUACGGGAGGCAGCAGUGAGGAAUCUUGCACAAUGGGCGAAAGCCUGAUGCAGCGACGCCGCGUGGAGGAUGACGGUCUUCGGAUUGUAAACUCCUGUUAAACGGGAAGAAAGAUCUGUUUCUAAUACAAGCAGAUUAUGACGGUACCGUUAGAGAAAGCACCGGCUAACUUCGUGCCAGCAGCCGCGGUAAU